UUAUUUAUUUUUAAGGAAUCUGGCAUUAAAAAGGUGCUAUCAGACUAAACUUGCAAGUGCUGCCUUAGCCUCAAAUGGGAUAGGAUGACAUCUCAUCUUAUCUUUUUGCCCUCUGUUUGCAGGCAAAUAGCGUUUGGCAUUAUUCAACUGGCAACCAAUUGACUCUUAGAUCACCAUUUAGUCACGAUAAAUACUUGUACAAACUAAAGAAACUUGAAGACUUUAUUGUCAAUCCUUCAGUUCAUAAUGAACUACAAGAGGCCUCCAAUUUAGAUUAAAGAUUCAAGGCUUGAAUGAAGGAGGCUUCCUAAUCUUAGUAGCCUGCUCAAAGCCAUAAGCAAUCUCUAUUAGUUUGGGCUCUGUACCUUUCAAUCCUCCAAAGCAGAUGCCAAAAGGCACCCCCUCAGUGUCAUACCCAGCGGGGACAGUGAUUCCUGGAUAUCCUCCAAUUGCAAGCAGAGUUGAGAUAUAUGAGCUCCUUCUUAAAUCAUAUGGAGUCACUAGUGCAUCUAGUUUAUGCUUCCUCACCAAUUCCUCCAAUCCAUUUCUUGAAAGUUUGUUCAGAUUUGCCACUACUAGCUUCAGUGGCUUGUCAGCUCCCUUCAAAGAUUCAGCAGCUUCAAACAGGUCUUGACCAUAUUCCUUGGUCUUUUCCAAGUUGGAGAAUUUCUUAUUGAAGGCAAUGAGGUCUGCUAAGGUUCGCACUGGGGAUUUCACCAGUUGUUUUAGGUAUCCAUUUAUUGCUGGCUUGAACUCAGCCACCAGCGCAAAUUGUUCUCCACUUCCAGUGAAAUUUAUGAUCUCAUCAAUGUUGGAAAUUUCCAAAUGAUCAAUCAGAAUUGCUCCCUUUUGCCUUAGUUUGUCCAAGUGGUGCUCGAAAGCUCGAGUUAGAACAGAUCCCUCGUCAUUAUAGAACUUGAAGAAAGGAUUCCUAACUAUCCCUAAUCGCUUCUCUUGAAGGCCAUUAGGCUUAAGGAAUUGCUUGUAGCCACCCUGUGGAAUGAACUUGACUGCAGCUCUAGUCGCAUCAUCAUAAUAAUCAAAGCCUACAAUGGCAUCAAGGACAUAAACAGCAUCUCUCACUGUCCGGCACAUUGGCCCAACUGUAUCCUGUCUAGGGGAGAUUGGGACAACUCCAGAUCUACUAGUGAGACCAACGGUUGGUUUAAUACCCACAAUUGAGUUAAUACUGGAUGGACACAAGAUAGAGCCAGAAGUCUCAGUCCCCAGGGACACUGCUACCAUAUUUGCUGCUACCGAUAUUCCUGAUCCGCUACUUGACCCACAAGGCCCUGCUGAUAGAACAUAAGGAUUCAUUCCUUGACGUUUUCUUCCACAGAAGCCAUUAGGUAAAAAAUUCGAUCUAAAAGCAGCCCAUUCGGUCAUGCUAGCCUUCCCGAAUAUGAUGGCUCCAGCUUUCCUCAACCUCACCACAACACCUGCAUCUCGGGGAACGACUGAGCCAAGCAGCGCAAAAGAGCCAGCAGUGGUGUUGAGCUUAUCUUUGGUAGCAAUGUUAUCUUUGAGCAGGAUAGGAAUGCCAUGUAAACUAUGCAAAGAUCCUGGAGCCUUAGCCUUACGCUCUUUAUCGGCCUUAUCAGCCAGGUAGAGAGAAUCAGGGUUCACUUCUAUGACCCCUCGAAGGAGAGGAUUGAGCCUGCGGAUUUCUUUGAGGUAGAACUGAACGAGUUGUCUGGAGUUUAGAUGUUUCUGCUGAAAUGCCAGUUGAAGAUCAUCAAUGGUUGCUUCUUUAAUUGAGAAAGCGAUUGUUAUCUUGGUGAAGAACCCACAUAAUAAUAUGGAUACAAGAAUUGAAAGAAGUAUUGAAUUGGUAGACAUAGCUCAGCUCUGCUCAAAUGAAGAGUUGAAUCAUUUAGCUUAAUUAUUCGCUCUGGAUUUGGUACGGAGUGAAUGAGAAAUGAUGCUGCUUUAUAAAAGGAUAAGAAAUCCAGAAUUUAUAUUAUACAUAAAAUUUCUUUCGUCGGGAGCAUUUGUCCAACAAUUCUUGAGAUAAUC
rnacentral:misc_RNA from 1 species